GUUUAGGUAAAACGUCCAUCGAUACUUUUCAAAACUACUAUGAAAUCCAUUGGAGUUAUCUGCCUGCUAUUUGCGCUGAUCAGCACUGCAUUGAGUUGGCCGUUGUAUCCUAUUUGCCGUUUUCCACAUGUUUUACGGCCGUGUAAGCUACCAACUAAAUGGAUAAACGUGAGUGUAUUUCCAAUACGGAGGUACUGACGGAUAUGACAAUAAUUUGAUGUCAGAGGGGUAUACAUUUUAACAAGUACCCUAAUAAAAUCAUUUGAAUUAAAACUACC